GUCAACACAAACUUGUACCAUGUACGUUCUGCGACGUUACCAAGUAAAACGCGACAAUUUACCCGGUAAGUAAGCUGAAACUGUACUGUAAAAGGAAGCCUCGUUCGUUUCCAUGGUAUUACCAGGUUCUUACCAUAUCAUUUGUAAUACGUUAUUCCCUUUUCCAUGCAGUCAACACAAACUUGUACCAUGUACGUUCUGCGACGUUACCAAGUAAAACCCGACAAUUUACCCGUCAACACAAACUUGUACCAUGUACGUUCUGCAACGUUACCAAGUAAAACGCGACAAUUUACCCGUCAACACAAACUUGUACCAUGUACGUUCUGCGACGUUACCAAGUAAAACCCGACAAUUUACCCGGUAAGUAACCUGAAACUGUACUGUAAAAGGAAGCCUCGUUUGUUUCCAUGGUAUUACCAGGUUCUUACCAUAUCAUUUGUAAUACGUUAUUCCCUGUUCCAUGCAGUCAAAACAAACUUGUACCAUGUACGUUCUGCGACGUUACCAAGUAAAACACGACAAUUUACCCAGUA
ensembl:lncRNA